UGCAACUCCACCCUUAAUCUCUACUACAGCUCCACCCAUCAACUCCACUACAGCUCCACCCGUCAUCUCCACUACAACUCCACUCAUCAACUCUACUACAGCUCCGACCUUCGACUCCACUACAGCUCCACCCUUCAUCUCCACUACAACUCCACCCUUAAUCUCCACUACAGCUCCACCGAUCAGCUCCACUACACCUUCACCCAUCCCCACACCUUUACCCAUCACCUCCACUAAAGCUCCACCCAAAGAUGUUCUGACGAUCCUCACUAAUCUGGAGGUGGAGGUUUUGGCCGAGGAGUCGUCCACUGAAGAAGAGCGUCGAGCUGCACUGCUUCAGGUUGCUGCUUUGGUGGAGAGUUUGCUAAGAGCGAAUGAUACCGACAUCUACUCUUUUGAUGUCACGAGGAUUAAGCCUUUAUCUCCAUGUGACUGAAAUCAGCUGAGAGGAACUGACAUGAAUAAAUCCUCAUUGAUGCAGAACUUUUACUAUUUUAAUAUGAGAUCUGAUCAUGAUGUGACAGUUCAACAAAAACAUUGCAUUUGUGUUGCAUCUGCAUAGGAUCAUUAAUGAUCGUUGAUGCCUUAGAGUCCCUUUUAGUCUUUUGACAUUUGCAUAUACAUUACACGACAUUUCUUUAUUUAGAACAUAAUUAAGCUGUUAUAAAAUGUAUAUGAUCUAUGCAUGUGUUGUAUGUAUGUUCUUAUGCCCAGUUAAAAAUCUCUCUUGGUAUUAGUUCCGCUCUA